GCGCACGCUCGCUGCCACCAGGAGUUCACAGGAAACAGGUACCUGCACACGCUCGCUGCCACCAGGAGUUCACAGGAAACAGGUACCUGCACACGCUCGCUGCCACCAGGAGUUCACAGGAAACAGGUACCUGCACGCGCUCGCUGCCACCAGGAGUUCACAGGAAACAGGUACCUGUGCACGCUCGCUGCUCCCAGGAGUUCACAGGAAACAGGUACCUGUGCACGCUCGCUGCCACCAGGAGUUCACAGGAAACAGGUACCUGCACACGCUCGCUGCCACCAGGAGUUCACAGGAAACAGGUACCUGCACACGCUCGCUGCCACCAGGAGUUCACAGGAAACAGGUACCUGUGCACGCUCGCUGCUCCCAGGAGUUCACAGGAAACAGGUACCUGUGCACGCUCGCUGCCACCAGGAGUUCACAGGAAACAGAUACCUGCACACGCUCGCUGCCACCAGGAGUUCACAGGAAACAGGUACCUGUGCACGCUCGCUGCCACCAGGAGUUCACAGGAAACAGGUACCUGCACACGCUCGCUGCUCCCAGGAGUUCACAGGAAACAGGUACCUGCACACGCUCGCUGCCACCAGGAGUUCACAGGAAACAGGUACCUGUGCACGCUCGCUGUAAUGAGGAGGACCCACAGAUAUGAUCAGAUAUCCUACAUUUGGAUACGAAGACAAUAAACUGAACAUUCUAAUGCUGAUAUAGCGAUCACUAAUGGUUACUGAAAGCAAUGUUCUAGAACCCCGACUUAGAAUUUUGAAAAAAAAAAAAA